rfam:Solanum tuberosum cultivar DM 1-3 516 R44 scf00078_38, whole genome shotgun sequence.
GUGAGAUGGAAUCAACGUUUGGACAUGUGAUUUUAUGUUGAUUUCAUCUCAUGA